rnacentral:rRNA from 1 species
UACGGAGGAUGCAAGCGUUAUCCGGAAUGAUUGGGCGUAAAGCGUCCGCAGGUGGCUAUGUAAGUCUGCUGUUAAAGAGCAAGGCUCAACCUUGUAAAGGCAGUGGAAACUACAUGGCUAGAGUGCGUUCGGGGCAGAGGGAAUUCCUGGUGUAGCGGUGAAGUGCGUAGAGAUCAGGAAGAACACCGGUGGCGAAAGCGCUCUGCUAGGCCGCAACUGACACUGAGGGGCGAAAGCUAGGGGAGCGAAUGGG